GGGCCCGCACAAGCGGUGGAGUAUGUGGUUUAAUUCGAUGCAACGCGAAGAACCUUACCAGGGUUUGACAUCCUGCGAAUCUCUUGGAAACGAGAGAGUGCCUUCGGGAACGCAGUGACAGGUGGUGCAUGGCUGUCGUCAGCUCGUGUCGUGAGAUGUUGGGUUAAGUCCCGCAACGAGCGCAACCCACGUCUUUAGUUGCCAGCAUUUAGUUGGGCACUCUAGAGAGACUGCCGGUGAUAAACCGGAGGAAGGCGGGGAUGACGUCAAGUCCUCAUGGCCCUUAUGGGCUGGGCUACACACGUGCUACAAUGGCAGUGACAGAGGGACGCUACCUCGCGAGAGGAUGCAAAUCUCAAAAAGCUGUCUCAGUUCGGAUUGUUGUCUGCAACUCGACAACAUGAAGUCGGAAUCGCUAGUAAUCGCGUAUC
rnacentral:rRNA from 1 species